rnacentral:rRNA from 1 species
GAUCCUGGCUUAGGAUGAACGCUGGCGGCGUGCUUAACACAUGCAAGUCGAGCGAAGCUCCUUGUUGAUUCUCGGAUGAAACAAGGAUGACUGAGCGGCGGACGGGUGAGUAACGCGUGGAGAACCUGCCCCGUACCGGGGGAUAACAGUUAGAAAUGACUGCUAAUACCGCAUAAGCGCACACUAUCGCAUGAUAGAGUGUGAAAAACUCCGGUGGUACGGGAUGGCUCCGCGUUGGAUUAGCCAGUUGGCGGGGUAACGGCCCACCAAAGCGACGAUCCAUAGCCGGCCUGAGAGGGCGACCGGCCACAUUGGGACUGAGACACGGCCCAAACUCCUACGGGAGGCAGCAGUGGGGAAUAUUGCACAAUGGGGGGAAAAACCCCCUGAUGCAGCGACGCCGCGUGAACGAAGAAGUAUUUCGGUAUGUAAAGUUCUAUCAGCAGGGAAGAAAAUGACGGUACCUGACUAAGAAGCCCCGGCUAAAUACGUGCCAGCCGCCGC